GAUGAACGCUGGCGGCGUGCCUAAUACAUGCAAGUCGAGCGAACGGACGAGAAGCUUGCGUCUCUGAUGUUAGCGGCGGACGGGUGAGUAACACGUGGAUAACCUACCUAUAAGACUGGGAGAACUUCGGGGAACCGGAGACGAUACCGGAGAAUAUUUUGAACCGGAGGGUUCAAAAGUGAAAGACGGUCUUGCUGUCACUUAUAGAUGGAUCCGGGUUGCAUUAGCUAGUUGGUAAGGUAACGGCUUACCAAGGCAACGAUGCAUAGCCGACCUGAGAGGGUGAUCGGCCACACUGGAACUGAGACACGGUCCAGACUCCUACGGGAGGCAGCAGUAGGGAAUCUUGCGCAAUGGGCGCAAGCCUGACGGAGCCACGCCGCGUGAGUGAUGAAGGUCUUCGGAUCGUAAAGCUCUGUUAUUAGGGAAGAACAUAUGUGUAAGUAUCUGUGCACAUCUUGACGGUACCUAAUCAGAAAGCCCCGGCUAACUUCGUG
rnacentral:rRNA from 1 species